ensembl:snoRNA SNORA66 Small nucleolar RNA SNORA66
UUGCAAACUCGAUCACUGGCUCUGCAUGCUGUGGCAGAAGCAAGGGGAACAGGUUUGCUAAAGAGAUUAUGGUAAAAGAACAAUACUGGCCUUAGAAAUAGUAUUAAGGCUGUUGAUUCUGUGCCAUAACAAUU